rnacentral:misc_RNA from 1 species
GGAGUAAUUAAUUUGAAUGAAUAAUUUUUAGGCAAUUGAGAAGUUACUGUUAUUAUUAUUACCAUUAAAACAUGAGCACUUUUUGUUUUAUCACUCACCUUAUAACGAGUAAUCACACCAAUCAUAUAUAUAUAUUUUCCAAGCCCAUUAAUUAUAACAUAUACUCACCCAUGAUCUCUGCACUGUAGGCGCUUGAAAUCU